AUGGAAGAAAUCUGUCAAACUGAGAGGUGACAUGUUUAAAAUAACGUUAUAAAAAUAUUUUUUUUUUAAACAAAUAAAUGUAACCUAUGUGCGACUCGUUAAAUAGGCAUCCAUUGAGCUGGGACACCAGGCUCAAUCGCACUCACUUUAAUUCCUUCUCCUUUUCGUACACAGAUGCCACCAUGGCACUGUACUCCUGGUCCAAGUUGUUGGCCCGCGAGAAGUGCGAUCCGUUUACCUCCAGCCGCUCGAACGAGGACUUCAUGGAGGCGUCCACAUCCAUUUCCAGCCCGGAGGUGUUACCUCCUCCGCCUGCCGCGCCGGUGCUCAUCAGAGCCACCAUGGACAGGGAGGAGACGGUGCCCCCGCAACCAGAACUGCUGCUGUUCUCGUUGUGGCUUCCCAUGAAGGUGUUUAGCAUGUUCAGGCUCAAAGUGGUUGUGGGAUUAACCGUGCUCAUGGAGGUGCUCGCCGCCUGCGAAGUGGCUGCACUGAUGGACUUGCCAAAUCCCUCAUCGUCCACGGUUGUCGACGAGGAGCCAAUGCUGUAAAAGAAGAUGGAAUCAAACAAUGAGUUUAGUAAAAUGAAUUGCUGGACUGUGAGGCAUAGUAAGAUUAUAUUGUAGAAUAUUAUCAUCAAGCUAUUAAUUAAAUGUAUCAACAUUUC
ensembl:ncRNA lncRNA:CR46495 long non-coding RNA:CR46495